CCUACGGGGCGCAGCAGUGGGGAAUAUUGCACAAUGGGGGAAACCCUGAUGCAGCGACGCCGCGUGAGUGAAGAAGUAUUUCGGUAUGUAAAGCUCUAUCAGCAGGAACGAGACAAGACGGUACCUGACUAAGAAGCCCCGGCUAACUACGUGCCAGCAGCCGCGGUAAUACGUAGGUGGCAAGCGUUGUUCGGAAUAACUGGGCGUAAAGGAUGCGUAGGCGGUUAAAAAAGUUUUAUGUUAAAUAUAAAGGCUUAACCUGUAGAAAGCAUAUAAAACUGUUUAACUAGAGUGCAGGAGAGGUA
rnacentral:rRNA from 1 species